rnacentral:lncRNA from 1 species
ACAACUAUGGGAUUUUUGUUCUUCAAUGCUAUGCUAACAGCUUUUUUUUCUCUCCCUUCUAGGCAAAGGUGGAUAAUUCCAGCCUUGUUGGUGUAGGAUACACCCAAACCCUCAGGCCAGGUAAGUGCUUUUGGUGUAAGUCAUAACCUGUUUGAGAAGCAGCUAUGUGUGCAGCAGAACAGUAGCAUUCACUUGAGCAUAUCUAUCUGUAUCUGGCCCAUUAUCCUCACACUGUUAGUCAAUAACUUAAUAAAAUUAGCCUUGUUUGGUAGUUCCAGUUCGCCUGAUGUCGACCAGGGGAACUGCAUCUAAACCAUAUUCCUCUGUUGACCUGUCCCCUUUGCCUUUUAACAUCAUUUGGCUCCUGAGAUUGCAGCUGCAUAAGUACAUGGCUGAUCAGAUAGUCAAUCCUAUCUGCUUUGUCAGGCUUAACUCUAUUUCCUACAGAUACCAUCACAUCCACAGACUAUAGCAGCUGCUGGGGUUGUGCUUUAUUGUAGCAACAGAUUGACUGAUGAUUGAGAGGAAGCUCAUCUUAUCCCCUGCAGUGCCUUGUAGUACCUGAACCUUUUUUUUUCUUUUUUUUCCUUGAACAAUCAAACUAAUUGAUAAGUAUUCUGCUGAAUUCUUUUUAUGAACACAACUUUUUGGUUGGGUAUAACGGAAAGAUAUGAACAUAAAGGACUAAUCGUGUCCUGUUAAAAGCAUCCCAAUACAAUGCAGAAUGUGUUCUGAUUCUGUGCUAAGUAAGCUGCAGUUUCUGCUAUUUCCAAACUAAUCUCCCUUCAGGAAUGACAGCUAUCUGGAAAUAUCAGAUCCUUUCUGCUGACUUCCAGUUAUUCAUGAAUACAGUCAAUCAAUCUCAAAGGAAUUUUAUCAACCAGAAGAACAGAGACAAAUUAAAUUGGAAUUUUGUGAAUAGACCCCUCUGUGUCUUCACGAUUUUAAAAUGGCAUUCUCUGCUAUUUGUUCAAGCUGAAUGGACUGCUGCAGUCCAUACGGUUUAAGAGGAAAUAAAUGACUUUUACUGACUGAGCCUCUUACUGGUCUGUAGAGCGCUCACCAUAAACUAAAGCCUGGGCUUUCAUAGCAGAUACAUUAACUUUAAAACAGCAAUGCAUCUUUUAAUGCAGUACAAAACAUACUUCCACUCCAUAGAACAGUAGGAUAAUGUCAUGUUUAGAUAGUGUGUGUGUAUAUAUAGUUUUACUCUGCAUCUCUUUCAGUUUCCAUGUUUUGUUCUUGGUCACAAUCCUGGAUUUCUCAAUAAUUAAAAACACGCACAUAGUGUUGCAUAUAUUUGAUUUUUAUUUUUUUUAAACUAUUAUACAAUAGUGGAAUGUGUUUUAAAAUUCCAAAGAAGCAGAUGCCACAGAUUGACCAAUAUCAUUCUUCUUCUCUCUAUUUAGGAGUGAAACUCACUCUCGCCGCCUUGGUAGACGGAAAGAACAUAAAUGCUGGAGGACACAAACUUGGCCUGGGUCUAGAAUUGGAGGCUUAAGUGUCCAUUUGUUCUGUCUGAAAUUAGCGCCAAGGGAUAUCCAGGAAAAUUGGCCUUACCUAUAUAUUUUGUUUCUAGAACCAGAACCAGCAAAACUUAUAUAUAUGUACCCCCCUCUUUUCUUUCCCACCCUUACGAAUUGUCAUCAUAGGAAAGGAGCUGUAUGGAGGUAGAUAUCCCAUCCGAUCUGGAUGAGCCUAGUUAUUCCUCCUGGUUGGGAUCCUACCAUGAAGCACUCCCUUACACAUUUAUUAAUGUGUACAACUCAUAUUUAGUAGUGCUUCCCACCACAGAUGAAAUAAAACUCUCCUAUUAAAAACACAAAUGUACAUGUUUUGCAUGUCUGUUUUUUAUGUUCCUUUUAACAUUUGAAAAUGCCAACUCUGAAGCAAGCAACAAACGUAGGUCUCUUCAGCCAGAGGGACUGACGUUUUGUAGAAGUCAACUUUAUUUUGUGAGGGUUUUUGAUAUCCCUAAAAGUGAGAAUUAUGAAUAAAAACAAAAACCAACAUGUGAUUUGUGCCCUUCUCAUUUUUGCUAAUGUACAUG